AUGGCUCUGUUGGACAAUGAGAAUGUGAUGGAGGGUAAGGUAGAAAAUUCCCCCUCCCAACUUAUCAACAAGGUCCAAACUAAGAACUUAGGUAUUAUAGCAAACUAUAUCUUCUUCAAGGAAGAAGAUCUUAGUCUUGAAGAUCUAAACAAGCUUUUCAAUGAACUCUUGCACAUUUGA
rnacentral:rRNA from 1 species